rnacentral:rRNA from 1 species
GGCUCAGGACGAACGCUGGCGGCGUGCUUAACACAUGCAAGUCGAGCGGGGUCCAUCCUGUCGCAAGACAGGGGAAGACCUAGCGGCGAACGGGUGAGUAACACGUGAGGAACCUGCCCCGAAGACCGGGAUAACACCGGGAAACCGGUGCUAAUACCGGAUGCCCUCAGAGAGUCGCAUGGCUCAUUGAGGAAAUGGAUUCCGCUUCGGGAGGGCCUCGCGGCCUAUCAGCUUGUUGGUGGGGUAACGGCCUACCAAGGCUCCGACGGGUAGCUGGUCUGAGAGGACGACCAGCCACACUGGGACUGAGACACGGCCCAGACUCCCACGGGAGGCAGCAGUGGGGAAUCUUGCGCAAUGGGCGAAAGCCUGACGCAGCAACGCCGCGUGCGGGACGAAGGCCUUCGGGUUGUAAACCGCUUUCAGCAGGGACGAACAUGACGGUACCUGCAGAAGAAGCCCCGGCCAACUACGUGCCAGCAGCCGCGGUAAUACGUAGGGGGCGAGCGUUGUCCGGAUUUAUUGGGCGUAAAGAGCUCGUAGGCGGUUUGGCAAGUCGGGUGUGAAAACUCCGGGCUCAACUCGGAGACGCCACUCGAUACUGCCAUGACUCGAGUCCGGUAGGGGAGUGCGGAAUUCCUGGUGUAGCGGUGAAAUGCGCAGAUAUCAGGAGGAACACCGGUGGCGAAGGCGGCACUCUGGGCCGGAACUGACGCUGA